rnacentral:tRNA from 1 species
UCCCUGAUAGCUCAGUUGGUAAAGAAUCUGCCUGCAAUGCAGAAAACCCUGGUUCGAUUCCUGAGUUGGGAA